CUUGAGGCGUGAUGACGAGGCUCUUCGGAGCCGAAGCGAGUGAUACCCAGCUUCCAGGAAAAGCCUCUAAGCUUCAGUCUAAGAGUGACCGUACCGCAAACCGACACAGGUGGGCUGGUAGAGAAUACCAAGGCGCUUGAGAGAACUCAGGAGAAGGAACUCGGCAAAUUGAUACCGUAACUUCGGGAGAAGGUAUGCCCCUGGUACGUGAAGGCCCUCGCGGCCGGAGCGGAACGGGGUCGCGGAGAAUCGGUGGCUGCGACUGUUUAUUAAAAACACAGCACUCUGCAAACACGAAAGUGGACGUAUAGGGUGUGACGCCUGCCCGGUGCCGGAAGGUUAAGUGAUGGGGUGCAAGCUCUUGAUCGAAGCCCCGGUAAACGGCGGCCGUAACAAUAACGGUCCUAAGGUAGCGAAAUUCCUUGUCGGGUAAGUUCCGACCUGCACGAAUGGCGUAACGAUGGCCACACUGUCUCCUCCUGAGACUCAGCGAAGUUGAAAUGUUUGUGAAGAUGCAAUCUCCCCGCGGCUAGACGGAAAGACCCCAUGAACCUUUACUGUAGCUUUGCAUUGGACUUUGACGGGACUUGUGUAGGAUAGGUGGGAGGCUAUGAAACCGGGACGCCAGUUCCGGCGGAGCCAUCCUUGAAAUACCACCCUGGUGUCGUCGAGGUUCUAGCCCAGGCCUGUGAAUCCAGGUCGGGGACCGUGCAUGGUGGGCAGUUUGACUGGGGCGGUCUCCUCCCAAAAGGUAACGGAGGAGUACGAAGGUCACCUAGGUACGGUCGGACAUCGUACUGAUAGUGCAAUGGCAAAAGGUGGCUUGACUGCGAGACCCACACGUCGAGCAGGUGCGAAAGCAGGUCAUAGUGAUCCGGUGGUUCUGUAUGGAAGGGCCAUCGCUCAACGGAUAAAAGGUACUCUGGGGAUAACAGGCUGAUUCCGCCCAAGAGUUCACAUCGACGGCGGAGUUUGGCACCUCGAUGUCGGCUCAUCACAUCCUGGGGCUGUAGCCGGUCCCAAGGGUAUGGCUGUUCGCCAUUUAAAGUGGUACGUGAGCUGGGUUUAAAACGUCGUGAGACAGUUUGGUCCCUAUCUGCCGUGGGCGCUGGAAGUUUGAGAGGGCCUGCUCCUAGUACGAGAGGACCGGAGUGGACGCACCCCUGGUGUACCGGUUGUGACGCCAGUCGCAUCGCCGGGUAGCUAUGUGCGGAAGAGAUAACCGCUGAAAGCACCUAAGCGGGAAACUCGCCUCAAGAUGAGACUUCCCCGGGGCCUCGAGCCCCCUGAAGGGUCGUUGAAGACCACAACGUUGAUAGGCCGGGUGUGUAAGCGUGGCAACACGUUCAGCUAACCGGUACUAAUUGCCCGUGUGGCUUGAUCC
rnacentral:rRNA from 1 species